AUGAACGCUGGCGGCAUGGAUUAGGCAAGCAAGUCGAACGUACUCCCUUCGGGGAGAAAGUGGCGAAAGGGUGAGUAACACGUGAGCAACCUGCCUCCGGAUCCGGAAUAAUCCAGGGAAACUUGGUCUAAAACCGGAUGAAGACAUUGGUCCGCAUGGUCUAAUGUUAAAAUAUUUAUAGUCCGGAGAGGGGCUCGCGGCCCAUUAGCUUGUUGGCGGGGUAAUGGCCCACCAAGGCUACGACGGGUAGGUGGUCUGAGAGGAUGGUCACCCACACUGGGACUGAGACACUGCCCAGACUCCUACGGGAGGCUGCAGUCGAGAAUCUUCCGCAAUGGGCGCAAGCCUGACGGAGCGAUGCCGCGUGAGGGAUGAAGGCCUUCGGGUUGUAAACCUCUGUCAUCCGGGACGAAAACAAUGACGGUACCGGAAAAGGAAGCCACGGCUAACCACGUGCCAGCAGCCGCGGUAACACGUGGGUGGCGAGCGUUAUUCGGAUUUACUGGGCGUAAAGGGUCCGCAGGGGGCCUGCCACGCCUGCCGUGAAAUUCCAAGGCUCAACCUUGGACCUGCGGCGGGUACGGGCGGGCUAGAGUGCAAGAAGGGCAGACGGAAUUCCAGGUGUAGCGGUGGAAUGCGUAGAUAUCUGGAAGAACACCGAUGGCGAAGGCGGUCUGCUGGCUUGUAACUGACCCUCAGGGACGAGAGCGUGGGUAGCAAACAGGAUUAGAUACCCUGGUAGUCCACGCCGUAAACGUUGUGUGCCAGAUGUGGGUGGGUUCGGCCCCAUCCGUGUCCAAGCUAACGCGGUAAGCACACCGCCUGGGGACUACGGCCGCAAGGCUA
rnacentral:rRNA from 1 species